rnacentral:rRNA from 1 species
AUCUAUUUAGGUAGAGCGUUGUGUAUUACUCUUGGGGGUAGAGCACUGAUUCGGCUAGGGGGGCAUCCCGCCUUACCAAACCGAGACAAACUCCGAAUACCAAGAAGUACAGCACAGCAGACACACUGCGGGUGAUAACGUCCGUAGUGAAAAGGGAAACAACCCAGACCCACAGCUAAGGUCCCAAAAUAAUAACUAAGUGGAAAAGGAGGUGGGAAUACUCAGACAGCUAGGAGGUUGGCUUAGAAGCAGCCAUCCUUUAAAGAAAGCGUAAUAGCUCACUAGUCAAGUGUUCCUGUGCCGAAGAUGUAACGGGGCUAAAGUUAUUUACCGAAGCUUGGGGCUUGAUUUUAUCAAGCGGUAGCGGAGCGUUCUGUAGGCUGUUGAAGCUAUUCCGGUGAGGAGUGGUGGAGGUAUCAGAAGUGCGAAUGCUGGCAUGAGUAACGAUUAGAAGGGUGAGAUGCCCUUCCGCCGAAAGUCCAAGGGUUCCUGUUUUAAGCUAAUCUGAGCAGGGUUAGUCGGCCCCUAAGGCGAGGCUGAAAAGCGUAGCCGAUGGGAAUCAGGUUAAUAUUCCUGAACCAGAAAGUAGUGACGAAUUUCGUAAAUUGUAUCCGUUUAUAUAGAUUAUGGAUGCAAUGAAGAAGUUCCUGGAAAUAGCUCUUUCAUUUAUGACCGUACCCCAAACCGACACAGGUGGACUGGUAGAGAAUACCAAGGUGUUUGAGAUAACAACGUUGAAGGAACUAGGCAAAAUGCACUCGUAACUUAGGGAGAAGAGUGACCCAUCUAUAGGCAACUACUGGUGGGUGGCACAUAAAUAGGGGUAGCGACUGUUUACUAAAAACACAGGACUAUGCUAACUCGUAAGAGGAUGUAUAUGGUCUGACGCCUGCCCGGUGCUGGAAGGUUAAAUGAUGGUGUGUAUGCACUUGAUUGAAGCCCCAGUAAACGGCGGCCGUAACUAUGACGGUCCUAAGGUAGCGAAAUUCCUUGUCGGGUAAGUUCCGACCCGCACGAAUGGCGUAACGAUUUCCCCACUGUCUCCAACGUUGACUCAGUGAAGUUGAAUUCUUAGUGAAGAUGCUAAGUAUCUACGGUUAGACGGAAAGACCCCGUGAACCUUUACUAUAGCUUUGCAUUGAUGCCAGGAAUAAGAUUGUGCAGGAUAGGUGGGAGACUUUGAAGCAAAGACGCUAGUUUUUGUGGAGUCACCCUGUGAGAUACCACUCUUUUUUAUUCUUGAUGUCUAACUAUGACUCCUUGAAACAGGGUUUAGGACAUUGCAUGGUGGGUAGUUUGACUGGGGCGGUCGCCUCCUAAAGAGUAACGGAGGCGUGCGAAGGUUGGCUCAGNUUGGUCAGAAANCAAGCUNUUAGAGUNNAAUGGCAUAAGCUAGCCUGACUGCGAGACUGACAAGUCGAGCAGAGACGAAAGUCGGUCAUAGUGAUCCGGUGGUCCCGAGUGGAA